AAGUAAAAAACGAAAAUUAUUGUAUUUGAUUUCGACUCAAACCUUGGUGAAUACCUUUACUUA
rnacentral:tRNA from 1 species